rnacentral:lncRNA from 1 species
ACAGAUCUAGGCCCAGCCUGUCUUCCAGCAUGGAGCUCUGGCCCCGGGCCUCACCAUCCUUACCGGAGGCCUGUGAUUUAAUCCCUGCAAGAUGAAUGCAAGCAGAUAACGUUCUCCUGCAGGAGUGGGUCCAGGAGUGGAGGACACACUUGGGAGGACAGACUGGGGAUGACAGCUGGUUGUCACUGGCCUCCUUGCUUACUGCGGUGGGUGCCAUCUUUCAACCACCGUAAACACAGCUUCCGUGUCUGAACAAAGAGGGAGAUGGGUGAAAAGCAAGGAGGCUCCUGAAAUGCAGAAAGGUGGUGAGACAAUGAAAGCAGCAGCCAGGACAGUCUCUAGGCACUGGGGUUAGAGGCCAUUUCAAUACUUUCUUCCUUCUGCUCAUCUGCAUUUCCUAAAUACCCUUCAGAACACAUCUUAUUGUUUUUCUAAAAAUAUGAAAUACCUUCUUAUUUAAAGACUUGAAUUGUGCUCUGAAUUUCGUGAAAGGUGCAAACAACCAAACUAAACUGAGAUCAAACAAAACACUGAAACAAAUCCCAGGCUCCGGAGUUCCUGUCGUGGCCCAGCAGGAACAAAUCCAACUAGUAUCCAUGAGGAUGCAGGUUCGAUCCCUGGCCUUGCUCAGGUUGGGGAUCCGGUGUUGCUGUGCAUGGGGUGUAGGUCACAGAAACCCCUUGGAUCCACACUGCUGUGUCUGUAGUGUAAGCCAGUAGCUACGGCUCCUAUUUGACCCCUAGCCUGGGAACUUCCACAUGCUGCAGGUGGAUGUGGCCCUAAAAAGCAAAAAACAAAAAAACAAAACAAAACAAAAUGAAAAAACACCCCAGGCUCCAAAGCUGCAUUCUCAGCAGCCAAUCUUUUUCUUUCCUUCUUUUUCUCUUCUUUCUUUCUUUUUUUUUUUUUUUUUUUAAAGCCCCUUGCCGAGUACCUGGCUGAUGCUUGCAGUUAAAGUGAAUGUCACUCCACGGACCUAAUUCUAAGGAUACAGUCCCUCAGGACCUGCUGCGUAUGAGUUCCAGGAGGCCCCUCAGUUACCGCAAUCCACAAAUGCUCAAGUCCCUUAUAUAAAAUAGCAAAUACAGUCUGCUCUCUGUAUCUGCAGGUUUUGCAUCCGUAGGUAUAAAGGGCCAACUCUAGUUUCUUUUGCAGGCCUGAGACUUCUGGGCAAAAUGAAGAGGUGGUUGAACUGAAUGCUUAGGUUAAAUUCAAGAAGAGGUACACUCUCGUCCUCCCACCUUGGGAAUAAGCUGAAAGUCUUCUACUUGGGUGUUGCUUUAGGUUUUUUUUGUUUGUUUGUUUUGUUUUGUUUUUGUUUUUGUUUUGUUUGGGCUUUUUAGGGCCGCACUAGCGGCAUUUGGAGGUUGCCAGGCUAGAGGUUGAAUCUGAGCUACAGCUGCUAG